rnacentral:rRNA from 1 species
CCUACGGGGGGCAGCAGUGAGGAAUAUUGGUCAAUGGGCGCGAGCCUGAACCAGCCAAGUAGCGUGAGGGAGUACUGCCCUAUGGGUUGUAAACCUCUUUUGUCGGGGAGCAAAAGCCGGACGUGUCCGGCUGUGAUAGUACCCGAAGAAAUAACAUCGGCUAACUUCGUGCCAGCAGCCGCGGUAAUUGGGAGGAUGCGAGCGUUAUCCGGAUUUAUUGGGUUUAAAGGGUGCGCAGGCGGAUUUUUAAGUCACCGUGAAAAGCGUGGGCCUCAACCCCAUCCAGCCGUUGAAACUGGGGAUCUAGAGUGUGCGAGAGGUAUGCGGAAUGCGUGGUGUAGCGGUGAAAUGCAUAGAUAUCACGCAGAACCCCGAUUGCGAAGGCAGCAUACGGCUGCACAACUGACGCUCAGGCACGAAGGCGUGGGUAUCGAACAGGAUUAGAUACCCGUGUAGUC